CAUCUGCCUGCCGCACCACCCUGACGGUCAACCUCACAAGUCCCGCCCCUUACAGCCAGCGAAGGUGCCAGGUGACUACAGGAGGCCAAGUGCAGGUGUCUUCUGCCCUCCACACCUUUGGAUCCUUUCUAGCAGAUGUCUACAUGGUUGUGAGAGUGGCCAUUGUUCUGUUUCUGACUGUCUGUGCCAUCGCACUUGAAAUAAUCUGGAGGAGACGGAGACAGAAUUCCCAGUGAUCCCUCUGCUGAAGCUGACCAGCCUGUAGUGUUGCAGCUCCACCUACUCUUCAUCAUCACACUCUUCAUCAUCAGCUGCACUGCAGACCAAGAUGGCAGAUUGGGACACACUGUGACACACUCAUGCAUGAUUACAAAG